rnacentral:rRNA from 1 species
CGGAGGAUCCAAGCGUUAUCCGGAAUCAUUGGGUUUAAAGGGUCCGUAGGCGGUUUAGUAAGUCAGUGGUGAAAGCCCAUCGCUCAACGGUGGAACGGCCAUUGAUACUGCUAAACUUGAAUUAUUAGGAAGUAACUAGAAUAUGUAGUGUAGCGGUGAAAUGCUUAGAGAUUACAUGGAAUACCAAUUGCGAAGGCAGGUUACUACUAAUGGAUUGACGCUGAUGGACGAAAGCGUGGGUAGCGAACAGGAUUAGAUACCCUGGUAGUCCACGCCGUAAACGAUGGAUACUAGCUGUUGGGGGCAACGUUCAGUGGCUAAGCGAAAGUGAUAAGUAUCCACUGGGAGUACGUUCGCAGAAUG